rnacentral:rRNA from 1 species
CAGUAGCCGCGGUAAUACGGAGGGUGCAAGCGUUACUCGGAAUCACUGGGCGUAAAGGACGCGUAGGCGGAUUACCAAGUCUCUUGUGAAAUCUAACGGCUUAACCGUUAAACUGCUUGGGAAACUGAUAAUCUAGAGUAAGGGAGAGGCAGAUGGAAUUCUUGGUGUAGGGGUAAAAUCCGUAGAUAUCAAGAAGAAUACCUAUUGCGAAGGCGAUCUGCUGGAACUUAACUGACGCUAAUGCGUGAAAGCGUGGGGAGCAAACAGGAUUAGAUACCCGCGUAGUCCCUGUCUCUUAUAC